AACGAACGCUGGCGGCGCGUUUUAAGCAUGCAAGUCGAACGGUAGAGUUCCCUCGGGAACUUGAGAGUGGCGAACGGGUGAGUAACACGUAGAUGAUCUGCCUUGAAGUUGGGGAUAGCCCAUAGAAAUAUGGGGUAAUACCGAAUAAUACCUUAUGGCUUUGGCUGUUUGGUGAAAGGGGCUUCGGCCUCGCUUUAAGAUGAGUCUGCGGCUUAUUAGCUAGUUGGUAGGGUAAUGGCCUACCAAGGCGGCGAUAAGUAGCCGGCCUGAGAGGGUGACCGGCCACAUUGGGACUGAGACACGGCCCAA
rnacentral:rRNA from 1 species